rnacentral:rRNA from 1 species
UAGCCGNCCUGAGAGGGNGACCGGCCACACUGGGACUGAGACACGGCCCAGACUCCUACGGGAGGCAGCAGUGGGGAAUAUUGCRCAAUGGGCGAAAGCCUGANGCAGCGACGCCGCGUGAGGGANGAMGGCCUUCGGGUUGUAAACCUCUUUCAGCAGGGAMGAAGCGMAAGUGACGGUACCUGCAGAANAAGCACCGGCUAACUACGUGCCAGCAGCCGCGGUAAUACGUAGGGUGCAAGCGUUGUCCGGAWUUAYUGGGCGUAAAGAGNUCGUAGGCGGUUUGUCGCGUC